UGUGAAACACAGAUGUAGGAUUAAUGAGGUAGCCAAUAUCCGUAGAUAGUAUGGUUCACAGGUCUGAUGAGAGCUGUUUUUUUUUUUUUUAAAGAUUUUAUUUAUUCCUGAGAGACACAGAGAGAGAGGCAGAGACACAGGCAGAGGGAGAAGCAGCCUCCAUAUAGGGAGCCCGAUGUGGGACUCGAUCCCGGGAUUCCAGAAUCAUGCCCUGGGCUGAAGGCAGGCACCAAACCACUGAGCCACCCAGGGAUCCCGAGAGCUGUUUUAACAGCAACGAGGGGACGUUUUCUGCUUGGAAACUCAGAGGCAUACACUCAGGAAUAUGGUGGACAGGAGACCCUUGCGGCAAACACGGGAGAGAACCAGACAGUCCCAAGACCUACCAAAAGGUGACGGAAGGUCAUGGUGAAUCCUCAGUCGUCGAGGGAAUCUGAAGCAAUGAAAGCAGAGAGGAGAGGCACCUGUGCCAGGAACGUGUCCUCUUCAUACGGAGGGUCUGUUACAUCCCAGCGUAGUUUCCGGCACCGUGUAGGCCGCCUAUCUCCCAGCUGCUGGCUUAUUUGAGUGAGAAGUGGGGUUAUAGGGAGGGGAGGAAACUGCAACUUUGAAGCUGCCUAGGUAUGCAUGGCUUGCCCAAGACCCCUGAAUGUGGAGUCUGAAGCACAUAGUGAUAUUUCCUGUCCUGGGCAGGAAUGGCUCCGGUACUGUCCUCUGGGAGAAACACACAUGGAGAAGUGAAGAGGCAUCAACCAGGAAGCCUCAAGCAUUGCUGUCAACGUUCCCAGAGCCUGGCCUUUUUGGAGGGUUGGACAUCCUGUUGCUUACUGCAGAAAAGGAGUGGAACGGAUGGACCAGUGGACCACAGACCACAGAUGUCAGACCGUAUUUCCUUCUGAAAAGGUCAGUGCCCUGCCAAGCCAGGGCUACAACAUGGUGGCCUUUUAAAAAGCAGACAGCCAGAGAGGCUGCCACCAGGCCCAGAAUGUGGGCAAACUCAGACUCCUGUUCUGUUGGAGCAGAAAGGGACCUGACUGCAUUGGUGCAAUCCCCGCCUUCUGCUUUGCAGGUAGGGACACUGAGGUCCAGAAGGUGUGCUUGGGAGAGGUGACACGUUCAUGGUCGCAGGGCUUGAAGUCCACAGAGCUGUGCCUAAAGCCCAGCAACUUCCCAUUUUUGUCUACAUCAAGACAAACUUUUUCUUUGUUCUGCUUAUUGCCGCCUGUAAUAAAAUCAUUAUUUUUCUUCCA
rnacentral:lncRNA from 12 species